rnacentral:rRNA from 1 species
UACGAAGGGGGCUAGCGUUGCUCGGAAUCACUGGGCGUAAAGCGCACGUAGGCGGAUCUUUAAGUCAGGGGUGAAAUCCUGGAGCUCAACUCCAGAACUGCCUUUGAUACUGGGGAUCUCGAGUCCGGAAGAGGUGAGUGGAACUCCGAGUGUAGAGGUGAAAUUCGUAGAUAUUCGGAAGAACACCAGUGGCGAAGGCGGCUCACUGGACGCGUAUUGACGCUGAGGUGCGAAAGCGUGGGGAGCAAACAGGG